UACGAAGGGGGCUAGCGUUGCUCGGAAUCACUGGGCGUAAAGCGCACGUAGGCGGAUCGUUAAGUCAGGGGUGAAAUCCUGGAGCUCAACUCCAGAACUGCCUUCGAUACUGGCGAUCUCGAGUUCGGGAGAGGUGAGUGGAACUGCGAGUGUAGAGGUGAAAUUCGUAGAUAUUCGCAAGAACACCAGUGGCGAAGGCGGCUCACUGGCCCGAUACUGACGCUGAGGUGCGAAAGCGUGGGGAGCAAACAGG
rnacentral:rRNA from 1 species